rnacentral:tRNA from 1 species
GCCUGUGUAGCUCAGCGGUAGAGCGCUUCCUUGGUAAGGAAGAGGUCCCGGGUUCAAAUCUCGGCACUGGCUCGA